rnacentral:rRNA from 1 species
CACGUAGGGUGCGAGCGUUGUCCGGAAUUAUUGGGCGUAAAGAGCUCGUAGGCGGUGUGUCACGUCGGCCCGUGAAAAACCUGCAGCUUAACUGUGGGCGUGCGGUCGAUACGGGCAUCACUGGAGUUCGGCAGGGGAGACUGGAAUUCCUGGUGUAGCGGUGAAAUGCGCAGAUAUCAGGAGGAACACCGGUGGCGAAGGCGGGUCUCUGGGCCGAUACUGACGCUGAGGAGCGAAAGCGUGGGGAGCAAACAGG